GAUGAACGCUGGCGGCGUGCCUAAUACAUGCAAGUCGAGCGAACGGACGAGAAGCUUGCUUCUCUGAUGUUAGCGGCGGACGGGUGAGUAACACGUGGAUAACCUACCUAUAAGACUGGGAUAACUUCGGGAAACCGGAGCUAAUACCGGAUAAUAUUUUGAACCGCAUGGUUCAAAAGUGAAAGACGGUCUUGCUGUCACUUAUAGAUGGAUCCGCGCUGCAUUAGCUAGUUGGUAAGGUAACGGCUUACCAAGGCAACGAUGCAUAGCCGACCUGAGAGGAUGAUCAGCCACACUGGAACUGAGACACGGUCCAGACUCCUACGGGAGGCAGCAGUAGGGAAUCUUCCGCAAUGGGCGAAAGCCUGACGGAGCCACGCCGCGUGAGUGAAGAAGGUCUUCGGAUCGUAAAACUCUGUUAUUAGGGAAGAACAUAUGUGUAAGUAACUGUGCACAUCUUGACGGUACCUAAUCAGAAAGCCACGGCUAACUACGUG
rnacentral:rRNA from 1 species